GAUGGACUCGCUGGCCUAUCAGCUUGUUGGUGAGGUAAUGGCUCACCAAGGCGACGACGGGUAGCCGGCCUGACAGGGUGACCGGCCACACUGGGACUGAGACACGGCCCAGACUCCUACGGUAGGCAGCAGUGGGGAAUAUUGCACAAUGGGCGAAAGCCUGAUGCACCGACGCCGCGUGAGGGAUGACGGCCUUCGGGUUGUAAACCUCUUUUAGUAUGGAAGAAGCGAAAGUGACGGUACCUGCAGAAAAAGCACCGGCUAACUACGUGCCAGCAGCCGCGGUAAUACGUAGGGUGCAAGCGUUGUCCGGAAUUAUUGGGCGUAAAGAGCUCGUAGGCGGUUUGUCGCGUCUGCUGUGAAAUCCCGAGGCUCACCCUCGGGCUUGCAGUGGGUACGGGCACACUAGAGUGCGGUAGGGGAGAUUGGAAUUCCUGGUGUAGCGGUGGAAUGCGCGGAUAUCAGGAGUGAACACCGAUGGUGAAGGCAGAUCUCUGGGACGUAACUGACGCUGAGGAGAC
rnacentral:rRNA from 1 species